ensembl:lncRNA
CGUAACUCUUGGGGAGGAUCUGCGCCCGUUGGUAAACGAGGACGCGCCCCAGUCAGACGCGCCCCAGGCACGGGGUCCCCGGGGCUCCCGGCCGCGCCGUCGGAGCACCCGGCGCGGCCCCGCCCUCCCCGCGCGCGGAGCGGCCGGGGCGGGGACUACAAGUCCCGGCGUGCCGCGCGCGCCUCCCCCUAGGGUUCCGGAUGGUGAGCGGCGAAGGUAAGGCGAGCUCGCAGAGGCAUCGGCGGCGGCGGCGGAGACGGAGAGAGGCAGGCAGGCAGGGCGAGGGCGAGAGACGGAGGGAGCGAGCGAGGCGGACCAGACAGACAGACAGGCGGGCGGGCGGGCAGAGCGAGCCACCCGCCAGGCUGCGCUCAGCCCCGCUCGCAGCGGAGAGAGCAGAAGGCAGGAGGAGGGAGGGGAGGAGGGGGAGGGAGGGAGAGAGGGAAUCCAGCUACCACCACCCAAAGCCAGCGUCUGCUUUCUGUCCUCAUUUCCUUUUCCCACCCAGCUUGGAGAGCAGAGAAAGGCAGAGAGAGCGAGAAAUAGAGACAGUCUGAGAGACAGACAGACAGCCAGAGAGAGCGGGAGGGAGGAGGGCGGAGGAGGAGGAGCAGGAGGACUACGCGGGGCGCGUUCCCUCCCAGGUUUGCAAUUGGGGGGGUGGGGGCGGGGGUGUCCAGGGCUGGGAGAGUGUGUGCGCGGCGGGAGGGCGAGGGGAGCGCAGAGAGCGAAGGAGUGAUCGAGGUGGGGGGGCGCCGCGGGAGCGGGGCCGUGUCCAGCGGAGUUAGCGGCGGAGAAUGUGAGCCGAGGCGCGAGCCAUGCUGUCAGCGACGGCGGGCGGCUCAGGGCUCUUCCACGACUCCUCUCCUCAGCAGCCGGGCGCCCGCGUCGCUGCCACCGCCGGAAGACAGACGCCCCCUAAAACCCCUCGCUUGGCUCGGACCCACGGAGCCGGCAGCCCAGCACUCCGAUGGGAGCUUGCCUGAUUGUCAAGCCAUCGGCCUGGACCCCAGAGCCUACCCAGCUGAGCAUGUGCAGAGGGCCCCGAGUGCGGGGCGACGCUCAGGCCAUUACAGAGACCACCCUGGAGAUGCUGAUGAAGACGGGCCUUUCCUGCUGAGCCGGGCCUGUCUGCACAGCCUGCUCAGGCGCUGUCCACGCCCCGAGGCCUGGGCUCAGGCCGAAGUUGCUCCACAGCACCCCCAGCUGACAGCCAGCGACUGGCAGAGCCCCCAGGCACGGGGGCCCUCUCUCUUCCAGAGAUCUCCAGUGUGACAGCCCAGGCGGCAGAGCCGAGGGUAAGUGGUGGGGGUUCUCCUGGAGCCCUUUGGGGGUAAGGAGCAGGAAGGCUGUGCCCUUGUUAGAGCUUCCUGGCCUUCUCCUUAAGUUUGAUCACCCUGCUGAUGUGCUUCCCUCUCAGAGGCAGGGGUCCUGUUCUUUCUGAGCACAUAGCCAGAUUUCCAAAGGGGAUGAGCUGUCAAUAAGUGAAGCUGGGCCAGGCAUGGUGGCUCACGCCUGUAAUCCCAGUACUUUGGGAGGCCAAGGCGGGUGGAUCAUCUGUGGUCAGGAGCUCAAGACCAGCCUGGCCAACAUGGUGAAACCCCGACUCUACUAAAAUACAAAAAUUAGCCAGGCGUGGUGGCGCGUGCCUGUAAUCCCAGGUACUUGGGAGGCUGACACCUAAGAAUCACUUGCACUAGGAGGCAGAGGUUGCAGUGAGCUGAGAUCACACUACUUCACUCUAGCCUGGGUGACAGAGUGAGACUCUCUUUCAAAAAAAAAAAAAGUGAAACUGGGGCCCAUGAGGGGCUUGCUGUACAUAUGGUGGUUUGAGAAAGGCUGGGAGUCAGCAAGGGGAUUGGGCUUGGGGUGGGGAUGGGAGCUUGGUAAGGAGAUGAGACCUCAGGAGGGAGGGGUCCAGGAGCUCAUCGAGGAUAUGGGAAGCUGAUGAGGAUGUAGGUGUUCAGUAAGGGACCUCCUGCUCUUCCUGCCUGGCAGGUCCUAGUCCCGGCUUCUCGCACCCUCAUGUCAGCCCCGGCCCCGCCCGGCGGCCUGCGGAGGACAAGGUCAGGAUGCGUGUGAAGCCCCAGGGCCUGGUGGUGACUUCCAGUGCCGUGUGCAGCUCUCCUGACUACCUCCGGGAGCCCAAGUACUACCCCGGCGGCCCCCCCACCCCCCGGCCCCUGCUUCCCACCCGGCCCCCUGCCAGCCCACCCGACAAGGCCUUCUCCACCCACGCCUUCUCCGAGAACCCACGCCCACCCCCACGCUGGGACCCCAGCACCCGGCCACCAGUCCUUGCCAGGACCCGCUGCCCCCACGGGCAGCCCGUCCUGUCUCACAGGCCCGCUGCCCCACACCGGCCGGAGACGGCAGCAGCUCCCGACGCUGCUGGGACAACGGGCGGGUGAACCUGCGACCAG